UACGUAGGGUGCGAGCGUUAAUCGGAAUUACUGGGCGUAAAGCGUGCGUAGGUGGUUCGUUGUGUCUGUGGUGAAAGCCCCGGGCUUAACCUGGGAAUGGCCAUGGAAACUGGCGAGCUGGAGUCUGGCAGAGGGGGGUGGAAUUCCGCGUGUAGCAGUGAAAUGCGUAGAUAUCAGGAGGAACACCAGCGGCGAAGGCGGCGCUCUGGGCCGGUACUGACGCUGAGGAGCGAAAGCGUGGGUAGCAAACAGG
rnacentral:rRNA from 1 species